rnacentral:tRNA from 1 species
GCCCGGGUGGUGGAAUUGGUAGACACACAGGACUUAAAAUCCUGCGGGGCUUUACCGCCCUGUACCGGUUCGAUUCCGGUCCCGGGCA